rnacentral:rRNA from 1 species
UAGUUGGAUUUGGGUCGACCGGGCCGCCGGGCCGCCGCCCCCGUGCGGCGAGUUCCCGUGCGUCCCCGGGACCGCACGUUCACCCCCGCGGUGCUCUUGACUGAGUGUCCGCGGUAGCGGGUGACCGAACGUUUACCUUGACAAAACCGGAGUGCUCGAGGCGUGGGCGUUCGCCGCCCGUACGUCCUCGCUGGGAAUAAUGGAAGAGGACCGUUGGUCAAAAAAGGUUUUUCGUCAGAGAGGUUGGAGAGCAAAAAGGAGGUUGUGCUGGCGGGGGGUUUACAAAGGGGGGUAACUCCCUUUCCCCCUCUGGUCUUCCUCUUUCUCCUCCUCGAAACCUUCCUCCCCGCGUACCGCACUGGGGAUCGGUUGGCGCUUUUCGGCGGAAAGGGCGGUUUGAGACAGAAGGGUGAAAGCAGGUGACCGUUUGCCGGAUGGCGAAAGCUGGAAGGCCGGUCUUAUGUGGAAGCCUGGAAUCUUAUUCCCCCUCACUGUCGUGGUGCUUCCGUACCCUCGGUGUCAGCGGGAGGAGGUCGAAAAUCAAAAUAAAUAUGACGUGUCAUGAUUAAGAGGGACGGCCGGGGGCAUUCGUACCGCGGCGCGAGAGGUGAAAUUCUAGGACCGUCGCGAGACGAACGAUAGCGAAAGCAUUUGCCAAGAAUGUUUUCCUUAAUCAAGAACGAAAGUCGGAGGUUCGAAGGCGAUCAGAUACCGCCCUAGUUCCGACCUUAAACCAUGCCGUCCGACCGCCCGCCAGGGUUACUACCGCGACUCGGCGGGCGGUGACUUUCCACCGGGAAACCCUUAAGCUUUCGGGUUCCGGGGGAAGUACGGUCGCAAAGCUGAAACUUAAAGGAAUUGACGGAAGGGCACCACCAGGAGUGGAGCCUGCGGCUUAAUUUGACUCAACACGGGGAACCUCACCCGGCCCGGACACCGCGAGGAUUGACAGAUCGAUAGCUCUUUCUCGAUCCGGUGGGUGGUGGUGCAUGGCCGUUCUUAGUUGGUGGAGCGAUCUGUCUGGUUAAUUCCGAUAACGAACGAGACUCUAGCCGGUUAAGUAGCCCGAGUGGCGUGUUGUUGAUUUAAAAACCGCCCUAGCGGCAUUCGGGGUGCUUUGCGGAAGCUGUCUGGCUUUAACGGUGGUGGGACGGGGAGGUGGAAGAYGACGGUUUUAGCCGCGUGCGUCGCGGCUGGGAUCUAGUUUUUUUAACUUCCCUUUAAUCCUGUCUCGUUUCGGCCUUUCACUUUUGUGGGCCUCUGUUUGCUUAGCUGGGGUAGAUAAAACGCUAACGAGAGUCGGGGGCAGUGGACGUUACUCGUGGAAUGGGUGGGCGCUCCUUAGUGGUGCGUCCCUCUUCCCGGUUUCGCUUUUCUGCUUUCCUCGUCGUCUCGCGCCACCGGCUUUCGAGUGCAAAAGCUUCUUAGAGGGACGAGCGGCGUUCAGCCGCGCGAGAUUGAGCGAUAACAGGUCUGUGAUGCCCUUAGAUGUCCGGGGCCGCACGCGCGCUACACUGAAGGGGUCAACGCGCCAUUACGUUUCCCGGGCCGAAAGGCUCGGGGAACCGGUGGAACCCCGACGUAGCGUUCGUGCUAGGGACAGGGACUUGCAAUUGUGUCCCUCGAACGAGGAAUUCCCAGUAGGCGCGAGUCAUCAGCUCGCGCCGAUUACGUCCCUGCCCUUUGUACACACCGCCCGUCGCUACUACCGAUCGAACGAUUUAGCGAGGUCUUCGGACCGGCGGCCGAAGGUGCGCAAGCGCCGGCGG